rnacentral:rRNA from 1 species
GACGAACCGUGCGAACGUUGUUCGGAAUCACUUGGGCUUAAAGGGCGCGUAGGCGGGUUCGCAAGUCGGGGGUGAAAUCUUUCAGCUUAACUGGGAAAAGUGCCCCCCGAUACUGCGAGUCUUGAGGGAGGUAGGGGCAUGUGGAACUAAUGGUGGAGCGGUGAAAUGCGUAGAUAUCAUUAGGAACGCCGGUGGCGAAAGCGACGUGCUGGACCGUCUUCUGACGCUGAGGCGCGAAAGCCCAGGGGAGCAAACGGG